GGCCAUCACUAUGACUCCGCCUCCAGGUUUCUCUUUGCCAGAGGUUACACCUCGCCUCCUUCAAGCAGCCUCAUCUGCAGGUCGGUUUAGCCCCAGCUUGCCUCUGGGGCCCUGAACAGUAAGCUUCUGUGGCGGACGGCUGCUCCAGGAUUUAAGGUCACAGAAUUAAACAGGGCUGUGAUGUGAGAGCCUGGGAGAAGGAGGUUACGCCACACUCUAAUGUUGGUGGGCAGCUACUGAAGACGCCUGGUAGAUGAGGGAUGCAGUCCUGCAGGAGGACCUCUCUGCAGAGCAGCAGAAGGGAAAGCAGCUGGAAAUGAAGACUCUCAGCAGGCAAAGGGGACCAUUUGAAUCCAGUGAUAAGAGCCUACAGCAGGAAGCCUACAGAGAAAAUGGAGAAGGAUCUAGAGCCUGACCAAUCAGGAAAGGAAAAAACUGAGGGUACAUGACAUGUCCAGUCUACAAGGGCUGAGUGGCCCAUUUUCAUGUUCCAAAGCUGGCAGGGAGCCUCCAGCCUCUUUGCUCUGACCCCUUUCCCUCCUGCUGAUUGGAAAUCUAGACUUCGCCUUGCUUAUCAAAGAGAAGAUUAUGCUUUCCUGACUUUCCCACUGUUAACGUCUCACAUGUGAUAGUGCUGUUUGCAACGACCUUCCAGGGCCAUGUGUUCCAGGCCCAGGCAUCACGUAUAUUCAAAGAUCAACCGACAUGCUGCCUCAGGUCCUGAACCUCUCUGCUUCCCAAAGCCUCUCAGAUCCCGGUCUCCAGAGGUAUCUGCUGGGACUCCUGGAAGGCACGCCUUAUCUGAGUCCCUUUAUCUUUUAGCAGCUUCAGUGCCAGGGGAAUUGCCAGUGAAAUAUGUUGCCUCUGAGAAGUGAGAAAAUUUCUGCAGAAGGUGUUUGCCAGAAAGACAGCAAAAGGUGUUGUUUUCGCUUAGCAGGUGUUUAAAUUUUUAUGAGACACAAACCUGCGGAAAUCACAAACUUUCAGAUGGGUGUUUGAUAUCUAGAGUCAUUAUGCUUUCCUGGCCAAGCCACUGGAGGUGGGUGUGAUGUGUGUGUUGGCUGGGGGUGAGGGGUGGUACUGGGAUUCUGAUAGAAGAAAUAAGUCCUCAUGGGUCUCACAUGGUCCUUGUUGGGAGCUGAGUAUUGACAAAAACUGUUGAGCUCCCAGAAGACAGUGAAAUGUGAUUUGCUCUUCUGUAAGUCCUGAAUGGCGCUCUUUUCUCAGCUGUAUUUCCCACUUAGCUGGACUUCAGACUGCCCAGGGUGAGGGCAUG